rnacentral:piRNA from 1 species
UCAAGGUUGAUGUCUAAAAGA